CGUGCACCGGUGGGGUCCCUCAGCCUGGCCUGCACCCUCUCACAAUCCGGGACCUCUCGGGGGAUGUUAGAGAGCUGGUUUUGGCCUGAUCCCACAGGCCAGGCUGAGGGACCCCACUGGUGCACG
rnacentral:pre_miRNA from 1 species